rnacentral:rRNA from 2 species
UGUCUGGCGGCCAUAGCGGUGUGGCACCACCUGAAUCCAUUCCGAACUCAGAAGUGAAACACACCAGCGCCGAUGGUAGUGUGGGGUCUCCCCAUGCGAGAGUAGGUCACCGCCAGACUACAA